GCGAGCGUGGCGGAACUGGCAGACGCGCUGGACUUAGGAUCCAGUGGAAUUAUUCCGUGGGGGUUCAAAUCCCCCCGCUCGCA
rnacentral:tRNA from 1 species